rnacentral:rRNA from 1 species
GAUGAACGCUGGCGGCGUGCCUAAUACAUGCAAGUCGAGCGAACAGACGAGGAGCUUGCUCCUCUGACGUUAGCGGCGGACGGGUGAGUAACACGUGGAUAACCUACCUAUAAGACUGGGAUAACUUCGGGAAACCGGAGCUAAUACCGGAUAAUAUAUUGAACCGCAUGGUUCAAUAGUGAAAGACGGUUUUGCUGUCACUUAUAGAUGGAUCCGCGCCGCAUUAGCUAGUUGGUAAGGUAACAGCUUACCAAGGCAACGAUGCGUAGCCGACCUGAGAGGGUGAUCGGCCACACUGGAACUGAGACACGGUCCAGACUCCUACGGGAGGCAGCAGUAGGGAAUCUUACGCAAUGGGCGAAAGCCUGACGGAGCAACGCCGCGUGAGUGAUGAAGGUCUUCGGAUCGUAAAACUCUGUUAUUAGGGAAGGACAAAUGUGUAAGUAACUAUGCACGUCUUGACGGUACCUAAUCAGAAAGCCACGGCUAACUACGUG